rnacentral:rRNA from 1 species
GUGGGGAAUUUUGGACAAUGGGCGAAAGCCUGAUCCAGCCAUGCCGCGUGCAGGAUGAAGGCCUUCGGGUUGUAAACUGCUUUUGUACGGAACGAAAAGACUCCUUCUAAUAAAGGGGGUCCAUGACGGUACCGUAAGAAUAAGCACCGGCUAACUACGUGCCAGCAGCCGCGGUAAUACGUAGGGUGCAAGCGUUAAUCGGAAUUACUGGGCGUAAAGCGUGCACAGGCGGUUAUAUAAGACAGAUGUGAAAUCCCCGGGCUCAACCUGGGAACUGCAUUUGUGACUGUAUAGCUAGAGUACGGUAGAGGGGGAUGGAAUUCCGCGUGUAGCAGUGAAAUGCGUAGAUAUGCGGAGGAACACCGAUGGCGAAGGCAAUCCCCUGGACCUGUACUGACGCUCAUGCACGAAAGCGUGGGGAGCAAACAGGAUUAGAAACCCUGGUAGUCC